AACACAUCAGCCAUGCACAAAUGGUUCUGCCCAGUGGAUGCAACUUCAACUGUUCUAAGUGCAUGGUGCUCUCUGGUGAGUAUAUAUGAUGUUCCAAGCCUGUGAUAUCCUUAUAAUAGACUUAUGCCUCAUUCUAUUCUUGGCUGCAGGGAACCAAGCGCAUCUUCAUUCUUCAGUCAGUCCUUGAUCUAGAAUUGUGGCGAGGAGGACUCCAACCAGGCCAAUCCUUUUAUAUAUAUGGUGAGUGUGCAACGCUCUGAUACACUCCCUCUGAUCCAUCGUUAGUGUCUCAGUUUUGAACUAAGGUUGAAAACUAACCUUGGUUUAAAACUGUGACACUUAUUAUGGGUCGGAGUGAGUGGUGUUUUGUGCAUUUUAUAUCAUCACAUGGUAGAACAGUGACGAGUGUUGAACUAGGAUUUAUUUAUUUGUCUCUUUGCCAGCAUAUGCAUGUAAUGUCGAUGGUAGUGGCGAAACAUUCCGCAUCUGAAUUCUUCACAACAAUAGGAUGUUGC
rnacentral:lncRNA from 1 species